GGAUGCGAUCAUACCAGCACUAAAGCACCGGAUCCCAUCAGAACUCCGUAGUUAAGCGUGCUUGGGCGAGAGUAGUACUAGGAUGGGUGACCUCCUAGCAAGUCCUCGUGUUGCAUUCC
rnacentral:rRNA from 1 species